GUGUAAACUCAAGGAAGGGUGUAUGGAAGCAAUGGAAUGUUGAAAGCUUGAGGACUGCCACAGUGAAUGAUACUACUAAAGAUGCUACUGCUAAAAUACAAGCUAGUGCAUCUGCCAGUCCUACAGCAACCAAUGGGAGGCCAGAAGUGCAUUCAGCUGCAAGUAUACUGGAACAAGGACACCUUCAGCUCUUUACUUAAGGCAUCCUAAAGAGCUUAAGGGCCACUUUAUGCUUCACUUAGUGGUAUCAGGGAGCCGUAUCACAGUGAUGAGGAACUAGUAGCUAUGCAGCUGUACUCAAAUCCAGAUCCUCCGAUCUCAUGAAGCACCCAUAGGACUGACAAUGAGAAAACCACAAUGGUACUUGAAGGACACUAUGCCUUAGGAGGCACAAAGACAUACCUACCAGCAGCAAUGGUCUCUGUUGUGCUAUUUUUAGAAUAAAGUUGAAAAUACUUGUACAUAAUGAUGGAGAUAAAAGAUUAUACAUUUAAUCUGAAGUCACAAAUCCUAGUGUACAUACUCUUUUAAUUACUCUUUUGUUGCUCUGUCUUUGUAUUUAGAAUCACUUUAGUAUAAAUUUCUCUCUGCUGUUAGUUUGAAAUAAACAUGCAAUACUUAUUAGAAACUCAUUGAAUGUAUAUGGGGGGUAUAUGAAUAGCUAUAUUCGGAUACAGAUUUGUAUGUCAAUAAACUAUGUGCAAUGUGAAUAAUCAUAAAAGUCAGCAGUAUUUCCCUAAAGAAAUGCCCGCCUUCAAAAAAAUUUCUACUACUUUCUCGGAAACAGCUUCAACUGUAAAUACCAAUGGUAGAGAUCAGCAAACACAAAGAGCCUCCUUUAAUGUCUUUUGCCAUCAUCUAGAAUUAAAUUUCCCUUUCUCCAAGUAUAAGGGAAUUCAUACCUAAAAUACUAUUGCUGCCCAUGCCCCUUCAUGAAGAACACUGGACAGGCUUGUUCAAAACCAGAAAAUGCUUGAGUAACCAGAAACUGAUCCACAGUUUCUGGAUCGUCUUGAAUGUGAAUCAGGCUUUCAAACUUAUCACGCAAUGUUUAAAUAGAAAACGUACUUCAGUUUCAAAAAUGAAAAUGGACUUUGCCAACUUCUGCAAUAGUUCUGUCCCAAAAGGAUAGCAUGUUCAACUUAAUAUAAACAGAUUAUCCCGCUGGACCCUCUGAGUACUUGUAUUUCAGUGUUUCUUAAGUCUGUAACAUUUAUGCUGCUUUUCUGCCAGCACUAGAGUUUGCAAACCUGCUUUGCAAAUUAACCUUCAAGUAUGAAAGCUUGUCCUUAGGAAACAAAUCUCAGUAGCAGACUGCAAAAUAAAUAAAGUCAAUUGGUCAUGCUAGCCUUAAUGUAAGAAAGGAUAUAUUGUAAAGAAACCUAAUCUAUAUCGCUACAGUUAAUGCAAUUUAAAUGCCUGUGUUACUGAGCAAUACAAAAUUGAAAAUACUUACGUUACUGCAAACCUAAGUAAUUUCUUGGGGUCUAAACACAUGGACGAUGGUCACUUUAGGAACUGUGGAUUGUAAUAAAGUGAUUUGUGGCACUGAUUGUUCCACAUAUUGUAUUUUGAAGACUCCUGUGGCAGGUUUGAGGCUGGCUUUGUUGGCUGUCUGCAGUCCUUACCUAUGGGAUCAUCCUGUGAGGUGACCUAGAUGGCCUAUCCUCAGGCAAGCUUCAUGUGCUUUAAAAAGCACGUUUACCCCACAAUUUUGGCUGGCUGUGGUGACCUGUUCCUGACCUAGCCCACACUGUUUAUCCCAUCUGCCCUUCCAGAAAGAUCACUGGAUAGACAUGGAGCUCAGAAGUCAUCAGAUUUUUCCUCAAAGAGCCAUGCAUCACCUGCAAACAGCAGGUGAGAUUUAUAGGAAGCCUCAAUUGUGAGUUCAGGCUACCUCCCAGGACAACAGCAACAUCAGCACUUGGUUUCACAAGCCAUUCAGUUUUCAAAUCUGGAGACAGGCUAGCUCAUAAAGGAGAAGAUAACGCUCAGGAAAAUGUCUGUUCAGUGUUCCUGCCCUUACCGUAAGUGCGCUGCUUCCUGCAUAGCUGCACUCUUAACUCAGGAAAUUUUGAAAAUCCCAUUCAAAUUCCACACACUGAAAUGUUGGAUGAGUAAUGGCUCUUACUGGAAUAUUUCUUCUCUAUGCUGUUUACCUACUUUUUACACUUUCUUUUGCCUACUGUAUGAACCAUCUUCACUCUGUUGUUGUGCACAAGUUGUAGAUUUCCAAAAUUAAUGGAAAUUUAUGCUUUUUAAAAUGCUUCCAUAGGAAGAAAAGGACUAAAACAGGAUCUUUGUAUCUGGACAGACUAAGCCUCCAAACCUUUUUGAAUGCAAAUUCUAAUUAAAUGAUUCAAUUGGAAAGCAUUCUUUUUAACUUCAAACUACAAAAAUAUCUUGAUAAUGAGUUUGGUAAUGACUUUACUAAAUAAUUGUUAUUGCAAUUUAUGUAAUAAAAACAGUGCUCUGCAGAUAUUGUAAAACAAAGCCACUCAUAGUUCCUCUUCAAAUUUUAACAUUAAAAUACUUAACUGUAUGUCAAGAAAAGCUAUAGAAUGCAGGGAAGUACUUUAAAGGUGAAUAGGUAGGCUUGUUGUAUUUUACUUCCACAUAAUUUCAUAAGUGAAAUGGAUUUGGCUUACCUGAAUACCCUUCAGUCCACACAGGAAGUAGUUAUGCCACUGAGGUUUGGUUUUGUUAAUCUGAAUGUUAUUAACACUAGUACUGAAAUCC